rnacentral:rRNA from 1 species
UGCAAGUCGAACGAACCUUCGGGUUAGUGGCGGACGGGUGAGUAACGCGUGGGAAUCUGCCCUCAGGAGGGGGAUAACGGCUGGAAACGGCCGCUAAUACCCCAUAUGCCGAGAGGUGAAAUGAAAUUCGCCUGAGGAUGAGCCCGCGUCUGAUUAGCUAGUUGGUGUGGUAAUGGCGCACCAAGGCUUCGAUCAGUAGCUGGUCUGAGAGGAUGAUCAGCCACGCUGGGACUGAGACACGGCCCAGACUCCUACGGGAGGCAGCAGUGGGGAAUUUUCCGCAAUGGGCGAAAGCCUGACGGAGCAACGCCGUGUGAGGGAUGAAGGCCUCUGGGCUGUAAACCUCUUUUCUCAAGGAAGAGGAACUGACGGUACUUGAGGAAUAAGCCACGGCUAAUUCCGUGCCAGCAGCCGCGGUAAUACGGGAGUGACAAGCGUUAUCCGGAAUUAUUGGGCGUAAAGCGUCCGCAGGCGGCCUUGUAAGUCUGCUGUCAAAGCGUGGAGCUUAACUCCAUUUCGGCAGUGGAAACUACAAGGCUUGAGUGUGGUAGGGGCAGAGGGAAUUCCCGGUGUAGCGGUGAAACGCGUAGAUAUCGGGAAUAACACCAGUGGCGAAGGCGCUCUGCUGGGCCAUAACUGACGCUCAUGGACGAAAGCCAGGGGAGCGAAAGGGAUUAGAUACCCCUGUAGUCCUGGCCGUAAACGAUGAACACUAGGUGUCGGGGGAAUCGACCCCCUCGGUGUCGUAGCCAACGCGUUAAGUGUUCCGCCUGGGGAGUACGCACGCAAGUGUGAAACUCAAAGGAAUUGACGGGGGCCCGCACAAGCGGUGGAGUAUGUGGUUUAAUUCGAUGCAACGCGAAGAACCUUACCCAGGCUGGACAUGCAGGUAGUAGAAGGGUGAAAGCCCAACGAGGUAGAAAUACCAUCCUGCUCAGGUGCUGCAUGGCUGUCGUCAGCUCGUGCCGUGAGGUGUUGGGUUAAGUCCCGCAACGAGCGCAACCCCUGUCUUCAGUUACUAACAGGUCAAGCUGAGAACUCUGGAGAGACUGCCCAGGAGAACGGGGAGGAAGGUGGGGAUGACGUCAAGUCAGCAUGGCCUUUAUGCCUGGGGCUACACACGUGCUACAAUGGCCGGUACAAAGGGCUGCAAACCCGCAAGGGGGAGCCAAUCCCAAAAAACCGGCCUCAGUUCAGAUUGGGGUCUGCAACUCGACCCCAUGAAGGCGGAAUCGCUAGUAAUCGCGGAUCAGAACGCCGCGGUGAAUACGUUCCCGGGCCUUGUACACACCGCCCGUCACACCACGAAAGUUUGUUGUACCUGAAGUCGUUGCGCCAACCGCAAGGAGGCAGGCGCCCACGGUAUGACCGAUGAUUGGGGUGAAGUCGUAACAAGGUA